AACGAACGCUGGCGGCAGGCUUAACACAUGCAAGUCGAACGGUUGUAGCAAUACAGCAGUGGCAGACGGGUGAGUAACACGUGGGAACCUUCCUAGGGGUACGGAACAACUCAGGGAAACUUGAGCUAAUACCGUAUACGUCCGUAAGGAGAAAGAUUUAUCGCCCUUAGACGGGCCCGCGUCGGAUUAGGUAGUUGGUGGGGUAACGGCCUACCAAGCCAACGAUCCGUAGCUGAUCUGAGAGGAUGAUCAGCCACACUGGGACUGAGACACGGCCCAGACUCCUACGGGAGGCAGCAGUGGGGAAUCUUGGACAAUGGGCGCAAGCCUGAUCCAGCCAUGCCGCGUGAGUGAAGAAGGCCUUAGGGUUGUAAAGCUCUUUUGGCAGGGACGAUAAUGACGGUACCUGCAGAAUAAGCCCCGGCAAACUUCGUGCCAGCCGCCGCGGUAAAAC
rnacentral:rRNA from 1 species